rnacentral:rRNA from 1 species
GACCAAGGGAAACCGAGUCUGAUAAGGGCGUUGAUAAUUACGUGUGGUAGACCCGAACCCUGAUGAUCUAGGCAUGGCCAGGAUGAAGCGCGUGUAACAAUGCGUAGAGGUCCGAACCAACCGAUGUUAGAAAAAUCGGUGGAUGAGCUGUGUUUAGGGGGUGAAAUGCCAAUCGAAUCAGGAGCUAGCUGGUUCUCCCCGAAAGGCGUUGAGGCACCGCGUCAGAUUUAUCCUACAGGGGGUAGAGCACUAGUUCGGUGCGGGCGGAGAAAAUCCGUACCAAAUCGAGUUAAACUCCGAAUACCUGUAGCGUCAUUAUCUGGCAGUGAGAGUGCGAGAGAUAAGUUCCGUACUCAAGAGGGAAACAGCCCAGACUACCGACUAAGGUCCCAAAAUUCAUGCUAAGUGAUUAAGGAGGUGGAGUUGCAUAGACAACUAGGAUGUUGGCUUAGAAGCAGCCACCAUUCAAAGAAAGCGUAAUAGCUCACUAGUCAAGCGACUCUGCGCCGAAAACGUAUGGGGC